AGGGCUUUAGUUUAAGGUGCCGAGAAGAUGUUUUUGUUUUGUUUACCUUCUGUCUGCAAGAAUUGAGUUGACCUGUUAUGAGAAGACUGAGUAUGCUGAAUUUAAGUUGGAAAACAACGCUUUCCUGUCGUCAUUCCCUGCACCUGUAGAUGCCAAAAGCUCCAAGAGAAUAGCUCCCGGAGUGCACUCGGCGGAGUGCAGAGCGGCAUCACAACACACACUGGGGGAAAGCGACUUCAUUCUCUGCUCAGCAGACCUUUGGGAACGGUCUAACAAGUGAGAUCCACACCUUUUAAACAAGACGAUUAGCAUCACUGCUGGAGAGAGAUGAAGUGGGCCCAGAGCUGGGCUCGCCUCGCCCUGCGUGUGUCCUCACACCACAUCUGCAACGCUCUCAGUCUGGGCCUGGACGGAGUUUUUGAUCCUUGGUGGGCGCCGGCUUUUGCUCUGCACUCUGGAUGACAAAAAUCUCUCCGUCUCUCGCUCUGUGGCUUUUACUCCGUCAGCUGACUGCGGGCGUUGACUCUUAAGUUAAACCAACCAGCUUCUGCCACGAUCACGACCCUCCUCCUCCCCGUUCACCUCCAGUCUUCAUCACAUCCGGCGCCCAAGGUUCCUUCCACUGAGCUCAUCAGAAAUCCACAUCCCAUCAUCCAGAUCUUCAGCCAAGUCUUUUUACUUCUUCACUACCACUAUCACUACCACCCUAAAUAUGACUACGUCACAUUGGGGUCUAAUUGCCAAAGACUGCAUCAUGUAAUAAAUGAAUUUGUCCACUCUAAGUGAAGCGUCUCCUGAUUUGAAAUGACUUUAAAGUGAAAGUGGACGUGGAGCCAUCCAGCUGGCCCGAUCCAUCCACUGGCUCACUCUGGAUAUGCACGGGGAAAACUGGCAGCCAACAAAUCACCACCAUGUCUGUGUGUUUUACAUGAUUAGGCACAUGGAGGGAGCAUUAAAUCACCCUUACCUUGCUGGACAAACUGACAGCCUCAAGACCCCCCUUUGGCUUCUCUGUGUUUGUUUAGACAGGAAGUGUUUCCAUUCCAAAAAAUUAAGAUGAAUUGUCUAAAACAAAAACAUGACCAUGACCAAUGAUAAUGAAUGAACAGCAUGUGAAGUCUCAGGCCUCUUAGUGCUGGGUUGAUCAGCUGCAUUUUCUUUGACACUAUCAAAUAACGUAUUAGAAUAUAUACAGCUUUUAUCCAUUAUACACAUCAUUCAUCAUUAUGUGGAAGGGAAGUUAAGAGAUAGUCUAGCACUAGGACCCAGGGAGGACUCAGGCAAGGGACAGAGUCUAUAAAAGGUAAGCUCACCUGGGCUUUUCUACCUGUAUAGAGACACACAUGCCCUUUUUUUGGUGUUUGA